rnacentral:rRNA from 1 species
GGUUAAGUGACUAAGCGUACACGGUGGAUGCCUUGGCAGUCAGAGGCGAUGAAGGACGUACUAACCUGCGAUAAGCCGUGAUGAGUCGGUAAGAGACAUUAUCAAUCACGGAUUUCCGAAUGGGGAAACCCACCCGAGAUAACUCGGGUAUCUGUUACUGAAUACAUAGGUAACAGAGGCGAACCGGGAGAACUGAAACAUCUAAGUACCCCGAGGAAAAGAAAUCAACCGAGAUUCCCUCAGUAGCGGCGAGCGAACGGGGAUUAGCCCUUAAGCAUCUUGGGCGUUAGUGGAACGGUCUGGAAAGGCCGGCGAUACAGGGUGAUAGCCCCGUACACGAAAGCAACCUUGAUGUGAAAUCGAGUAGGGCGGGACACGUGAUAUCCUGUCUGAACAUGGGGGGACCAUCCUCCAAGGCUAAAUACUCCUGACUGACCGAUAGUGAACCAGUACCGUGAGGGAAAGGCGAAAAGAACCCCUGUGAGGGGAGUGAAAUAGAACCUGAAACCGUGUACGUACAAGCAGUGGGAGCCCUUCGGGGUGACUGCGUACCUUUUGUAUAAUGGGUCAGCGACUUACAUUCUGUAGCGAGGUUAACCGUAUAGGGGAGCCGUAGGGAAACCGAGUCUUAACUGGGCGAAUAGUUGCAGGGUGUAGACCCGAAACCGGGUGAUCUAGCCAUGGGCAGGUUGAAGGUUGAGUAACAUCAACUGGAGGACCGAACCCACUAACGUUGCAAAGUUAGGGGAUGACCUGUGGCUGGGGGUGAAAGGCCAAUCAAACUCGGAGAUAGCUGGUUCUCCCCGAAAGCUAUUUAGGUAGCGCCUCGGACGAAUACUACUGGGGGUAGAGCACUGUUAAGGCUAGGGGGUCAUCCCGACUUACCAACCCUUUGCAAACUCCGAAUACCAGUAAGUACUAUCCGGGAGACACACGGCGGGUGCUAACGUCCGUCGUGAAGAGGGAAACAACCCAGACCGCCGGCUAAGGUCCCAAAGUUCUGGUUAAGUGGGAAACGAUGUGGGAAGGCUCAGACAGCUAGGAUGUUGGCUUAGAAGCAGCCAUCAUUUAAAGAAAGCGUAAUAGCUCACUAGUCGAGUCGGCCUGCGCGGAAGAUGUAACGGGGCUCAAACCAGGCACCGAAGCCGCGGAUUUGCACUCAGUGCAAGUGGUAGGGGAGCGUUCUGUAAGUCUGCGAAGGUGU